CCUACGGGUGGCAGCAGUGGGGAAUAUUGGACAAUGGGCGAAAGCCUGAUCCAGCCAUGCCGCGUGUGUGAAGAAGGCCUUCGGGUUGUAAAGCACUUUCAGUGGGGAAGAAAGCCUUGGGGCUAAUACCCUCGAGGAAGGACAUCACCCACAGAAGAAGCACCGGCUAACUCCGUGCCAGCAGCCGCGGUAAUACGGAGGGUGCGAGCGUUAAUCGGAAUUACUGGGCGUAAAGCGCGCGUAGGCGGUCUGAUAAGCCGGUUGUGAAAGCCCCGGGCUCAACCUGGGAACGGCAUUCGGAACUGUCAGGCUAGAGUGCAGGAGAGGAAGGUAGAAUUCCCGGUGUAGCGGUGAAAUGCGUAGAGAGCGGGAGGAAUACCAGUGGCGAAGGCGGCCUUCUGGACUGACACUGACGCUGAGGUGCGAAAGCGUGGGUAGCAAACAGGAUUAGAUACCCUAGUAGUC
rnacentral:rRNA from 1 species